ensembl:lncRNA
CUUAAUAAUACCAGUGAUGUAAUUAUUUAGCUCCGCCCACAUCAAUAUUAAACAUUCUACAAUAACAAUGAUGACGUAAUAAUGAUUCAGUAGCUCCGCCCACUAUAAUUUUAAAUGUUAUUUCCCCCUUGUUUUCUGCGGCUUAUAACAUGAACUUUAGGAGACACAGGACAAAUUAAAGGAAAAUGCUAAUCCUAACCCAUGAGGAAGGGAGAAAAUCCUGAUCAUCAUUGUACAUCAGCAUGACAAGAGGAAAUGAUGUAAAUGACUGAAAGAGGCUUGAUGUGAUGCAGGAGGUUUAGAUAUAAAUCUACUCAGCCAGCUGUGUUUCAUGUGAUAUGUACAGACACACAGAAAAGCAGAUGUUCUUCAGCUGUGAAGGUCAGGAUGAUCCACAGAGAAGGAUGUUACAGGAGUGCAGUGUGUAAACCCCUCAUUACAAAGACAAAAUCUGGCUGAGACAUGGAGAGACACUGAGAUGCUGAGACACGGUGAGGCACUGAGAUGCUGAGACACAGUGACACUGAGAUGCUGAGAUAUGGUGAGACACUGAGAUGCUGAGGCACUGAGAUGCUGAGACACGGUGUGGCACUGAGAUGCUGAGACACUGAGAUGCUGAGACACGGUGAGUCACUGAGAUGCUGAGACACGGUGAGGCACUGAGAUUCUGAGACACUGAGAUCCUGAGACACGGUCAGGCACUGAGAUGCUGAGACACGUUAAGGCACUGAGAUGCUGAGACACUGAGAUGCUGAGACAUGGUGAAACACUGAGAUACUGAGGCACUGAGAUGCUGAGACACGGUGAGACACUGAGAUGCUGAGACACGGUGAGGCACUGAGAUGCUGAGACACGGUGAGACACUGAGAUGCUGAGGCACUGAGAUGCUGAGACAUUCUGAGGCACUGAGAUGCAAUGGGGUACCAGCAGUGCUAGUUAGGAGUAUAGAUAAUCUUAGGGUCUUAGGUAACCAUAGGUUUUCGAAGACAGUUAUUCAUGUAGGAGCUAACGAUAUAUGAUAUAUACAAAUUUUCAGGCAAUGAAAAUCAAUGUUAAAAAAUUCAAGAUGUUGGGAGUUCUGGUAGAAAAGAAAAAAAACAGUCAAGUAGGGGUCGAGUGGCACAACAGAAAAGGAUUCACCCUGUUGUCCUUUGAUCACAAGUGCAAUUCUGAGCAUGCUUCAGUCAUCCCUGAUUGGGAGUCCAAGAGAGCAAUACUGGCCAUGUGCUCUGGGUGGGAGGGGUAUAUUCUCUGUCCCUGUGUCAAUCAUAGCAACACUAGCCAAUCAUGGGCUUUUGUGAGCUUGUGGAAGUGGCA